CUUCAGCAAGCAUCUUCACCCUUCAUAGUAUAGGCUUUGCCUUUUAAAUACACAUGUAUCAGAUUAUGAGCUUCACUUUUGGAAUAUAUGAGAAUUUCUGCUGAUGCAUUUCCAGCUAUUUUCUCUGCACCGAAAGUCACUCCACCAUGAGCUUCCCCUUUCUCUCCUCUAGCUUCCUUCCAGGGAUGGAAGGCUGUCUGAGCUAG
rnacentral:lncRNA from 1 species